rnacentral:misc_RNA from 1 species
UCCGUGUUAACCACGGCAGUCUCUCUAGAGAGCCCAACUUAAUGAUGGCAACUAGAGACGAGGGUUGCGCUCGUUGCGGGACUUAACCCAACAUGUCACCACACGAGCUGACGACAGCCAUGCAGCACCUGUCACUCUGUUGUAUUGCUACAAAAGCCGUAUUUCUACGGAUGUCAGAGGAUGUCAAACCCAGGUAAGGUUCUUCGCGUUGCUUCGAAUUAAACCACAUGAUCCACCGCUUGUGCGGGCCCCCGUCAAUUCCUUUGAGUUUUAAUCUUGCGACCGUACUUCCCAGGCGGGGUACUUAUUGCGUUAGCUCCGAUUCGGCAGGGGUCAAAACCCGCCAAAUCUAGUACCCAUCGUUUACAGCGUGGACUAC